CCUUUUGUAGAAUGAACCGGCGAGUUACGAUUUGAUGCAAGGUUAAGCAGUAAAUGUGGAGCCGUAGCGAAAGCGAGUCUGAAUAGGGCGUUUAGUAUUUGGUCGUAGACCCGAAACCAGGUGAUCUACCCUUGGUCAGGUUGAAGUUCAGGUAACACUGAAUGGAGGACCGAACCGACUUACGUUGAAAAGUGAGCGGAUGAACUGAGGGUAGCGGAGAAAUUCCAAUCGAACCUGGAGAUAGCUGGUUCUCUCCGAAAUAGCUUUAGGGCUAGCCUCAAGUGAUGAUUAUUGGAGGUAGAGCACUGUUUGGACGAGGGGCCCCUCUCGGGUUACCGAAUUCAGACAAACUCCGAAUGCCAAUUAAUUUAACUUGGGAGUCAGAACAUGGGUGAUAAGGUCCGUGUUCGAAAGGGAAACAGCCCAGACCACCAGCUAAGGUCCCAAAAUAUAUGUUAAGUGGAAAAGGAUGUGGCGUUGCCCAGACAACUAGGAUGUUGGCUUAGAAGCAGCCAUCAUUUAAAGAGUGCGUAAUAGCUCACUAGUCGAGUGACACUGCGCCGAAAAUGUACCGGGGCUAAACAUAUUACCGAAGCUGUGGAUUGUCCUUUGGACAAUGGUAGGAGAGCGUUCUAAGGGCGUUGAAGCAUGAUCGUAAGGACAUGUGGAGCGCUUAGAAGUGAGAAUGCCGGUGUGAGUAGCGAAAGACGGGUGAGAAUCCCGUCCACCGAUUGACUAAGGUUUCCAGAGGAAGGCUCGUCCGCUCUGGGUUAGUCGGGUCCUAAGCUGAGGCCGACAGGCGUAGGCGAUGGAUAACAGGUUGAUAUUCCUGUACCACCUAUAAUCGUUUUAAUCGA
rnacentral:rRNA from 1 species